rnacentral:antisense_RNA from 1 species
AAAAAAGAAAAAAACCAAAACAACAAAAAGAAAAUAUAUACAAAAAUAUUGAUAAAUCAGAGCAAAACCCGAAGUCUAAAAUGAACUAAGCACACUGUUCAUAAAAAAAACUUUCGUAUUACAUGGUGGAAUUGAAUCUUUGAUUAGUGACACGCAAAGCAAAGAUUUUACAUUGGAAAAAUUAACCAAUAACACCGUUCCUGGAUAUAGCGUAAAAUCUCCGUAGUCUUAGGAAAAAUAACAAACUUCGACAAUAUUACGAAAAAAAAAGUAUCUCAUAAUAAAUGAAUUAUUGAAUGCGGAAAAGUCUUGUUUUACAUUGUUAACCCCAUAUUAAAGGUAUAAACUUCGAUAUUAAAAAGUGUUGGUAUGACCGGCUAAUAUAAAAAUUCUUCUUAAAGCUAUUUCAAGCCAAUGCCGUCCAAUAAUUCUGAGAUUGCUAAACAAAUAAUGUUAUCGUAAUAAGGAAGAUCGGAAAUAUUACUUCAAUUAACGCCUAACUUUAGUGAACAAAAGACAUCUCCAUACGGAUUCUAUUCAAAUGUGCAAAUGCAUAAACAUUUAUUCAAUUAAUAAGCCAUCAAUAUUAAUUAUUAAAGGUAUUUAUACUCGAAGAACCGAAUGUCAUUGACUUUCCAUUAAUUUACAAAAAGCUAAAGGAAAAUGCGACUAAUAGUUCACAUAUAGUUGAAUUGGGGGAAAAAAUUAAAGCCAUACAUCAUCUAAUAACAUCUGAAUAUUUUUUCAACUCAAAGAUAAUACUUUACAUCAAUUAUUGCUUGCACUUUAUGGAAUGUAAAUAUAAUAAUUUAGUCAUGGUUUUACCACCAGCUAAGUAAUUUAAAUCCUUGUUCUCCCAGAAAAUACACUAAUGAGUACUUCUAAUAUUACUGAAGCCAAAAUUGGAUCUUCCUCAACAAUUAUGACCUUCAAACUAGAGCUAGUGUAAUGUUUCACUUUAUUGAUCAAGGCUUUGAUUGCUUGUAAUAUGUGUUGUUCUGCGCGGUGUCUAGAAACUUCAUACAUUUCUUUUAAGGAAAAUAUUUCUAAUACAACUUGUUUUUCUGAAUUCGCCACAGCCUUAGAGAUAACUUCUUCAAAAGCAGACGAAACAGAUCUAUUGUCAACAUCAACCAUGUACAAUCUACUUAAUGUUUUUGUUAAUGGUACUGUGUUGUCUCCAUAUUUUCUAUUUGCAACUACGGUAACUCUACCUAGAAGCGAUGGAUAUGAAUGACCAAUCAAUGAUAAAAUGUUGUGAAUUCCUGGACUCAAUGCGUCUAUAGCUAGAACUUGACAGUUAACAAGGUCUGAAAUAUUUGCAUUAGUUAAAUAGAAUCUCUUAGAAAGUUCAGUUAAAGAGGUACUGGCAAAAGUUGUUAACUGUUGAACCCAAUAAUUCAUGCUAUAUAAGCCACUAACAUCAGGCUUGGAAUGUAGCCUAGUGAAUUCGCGAAGUGCUGAAUAAUGAGAGCUAGUAAAUGUUGAACUAGAAGGAGCUGGUCUAGAGGCAUCCUUGUUUCCGGUGAAUUUUGGUAGUGGAGGUCUUGGAGGAGGUAUUUUAGUAGGUCUAGGAGUGGUAGUAGUAGUAGUAGUUCUCAUUAUACGUCUACUAAUUUCCUUCCUAACACUACUUAAGAGAUUCUUUGAUUUUCUUGGUGUCGUUGCUGGCGCUCUGAAUUGUGGAAUUAUAUUACCUCCAACGAUUCCGCUUAAGCUCAUCCAGUUUCGGUUGAUAGAUGUAAGGGUUGCACCAAUCCCGCCUGAGCUUGCGUAUUCAAGAUAAUAGGUUGCAAAGAGAUCCAAUGCAAGGAAGAAAACUUCAGAGUUUCUCUCGUAGAAUGUGAGGUGGAUGGAGUCUCUAUGAGGGCUAGUGGAAAAGAAUUCAUCCAUACUUUUAGCUGCUUGGAGGAUGUACUCCUUAUUUCUUGAUUCACUUGUAAUCAUAGAAGUUGCAAUUAAUGGGGAGAGAAUAGUAGUGCAUCUAUAUUUUGCAGAGGCAAGUAUUUUCUUGUAAAGAGCUUCUACAGCCUUGACCCUACUAUUAUAAAUAAACUUUGUAGAAUUAAGACAGUAGACUCUGGAAACAUUGGUC